rnacentral:tmRNA from 2 species
GGGGGCGAAUGGAUUCGACGGGGUUCACUGAACCGAUGAUUGCGUGCCGAGGUGCCCGGCCUCGUUAAAAAGGGCAACACAACAACUGCCAACGACGAGUUGGCCCUGGCCGCCUAAAUAGGCCAGCGGUGGCUCCUUCCGUGUCCGCGGGGGGGGAUGCCACCGUCAUUUUCGCGGACUCGCUGCUUCCGGGCGCCUCGGCCGGAGCGGUCAAAAUGCACCGAGGCUGGCGUCGCCCGGAUCCCGUCCGUCGGAGCCGGUCGAAGUGAGAUUCAAAAGGCGGAAAGCGCACGGAUGAAUUGUCGGAGACGGUUCUUCGGACGCGGGUUCGAUUCCCGCCGCCUCCACCA